rnacentral:rRNA from 1 species
UACGUAGGGUGCGAGCGUUACUCGGAAUUACUGGGCGUAAAGCGUGCGCAGGCGGUUCUGAAAGUCAGCUGUGAAAGCCCCGGGCUUAACCUGGGAAUUGCGGUUGAAACUACAGGGCUAGAAUCUGGCAGAGGGGGGUGGAAUUCCACGUGUAGCAGUGAAAUGCGCAGAUAUCAGGAGGAACACCAAUUGCGAAGGCAGCUCGCUGGGACGUAACUGACGCUGAGACGCGAAAGCGUGGGGAGCAAACAGG